GCGGCGGCGGCGGCGGCGGAUCUUCCAGGAGGCAGGGAGAUUCCAAAUAAAUCCGCUAAUUCUGGGCUGAGCGCUCCGGCGUGCGAGCCCGCCUGCCUGCCAAAUGUAACUGUGAAGUGAUGUGGAAAAGUGAACCGGGUGCCUCCCCUGACGGAUCUCAUUGGGCAGAGCGCAGAGGCAGGUCUACCACUUGGAAAUUCGUCUGGUGGAGGCCACAGAUAUGGAACCCACUCAUUCAGAGGGCCAACUACCAUUGAGCCUUCAGUCUGUCCAGAAAGGAGCUGGGAAGUUGAGGAUGAAGCCAUCAGCUGGUGUAAUGUCUGGGAAAGGCUUGAUCUCUGCUUCAGGAUGAUGCCUUGUUUCUCUGUCCUCACAUGGAACAAAGUAGGAGGACAAAGAAGUUGUGUCCCCCAUUGGAAAAGGGACAAGAAGACCAAAAAAGACUAAGAGAUCCCAUUUAAUGUCUUUUAUAAGAGCAUUAAUUCCAUGCACAAAGGCAAAGGCCUCAAGGCCUAAUCAUGUCCCAAGGGACCCACCUCUUAAUAUCAUCCACUUGGGGGAGCUGAAUUCCUAUAGAUGCAUUUUGGAAGAACACAGCCAUGCCAACUCCAGUACCUAACAACAUACAAGAAUGAGGAGAGUGGUUCUAAUUUCUGAUUUCCACUAGUUGAUAUAAAUGUGAAGGAUUCCUUAACUAUGAGAAAGGAGAGAAAUAGAUUCAGAAGGAUAAAGCCCAUGUUAAAAACAUUUACUUGCAUGUGUGUCAGUAAUGUAUGCU
rnacentral:lncRNA from 1 species